GCAUUGGUGGUUCAGUGGUAGAAUUCUUGUCUUCCAUGUGGGAGACCCAGGUUCGAUUCCUAGCCAAUAUA
rnacentral:tRNA from 1 species